rnacentral:tRNA from 1 species
CCGAUGUAGCUUAGGGGUAGAGCAACUGAUUCGUAAUCAGUAGGUCGUGGGUCCGAUUCCCACCAUCGG